rnacentral:rRNA from 1 species
UACGGAGGGUGCAAGCGUUAUCCGGAUUCACUGGGUUUAAAGGGUGCGUAGGUGGGUCUGUAAGUCAGUGGUGAAAUCUCCGGGCUUAACCCGGAAACUGCCAUUGAUACUAUAGAUCUUGAAUAUCCUGGAGGUGAGCGGAAUAUGUCAUGUAGCGGUGAAAUGCUUAGAUAUGACAUAGAACACCAAUUGCGAAGGCAGCUCACUACGGGAUCAUUGACACUGAGGCACGAAAGCGUGGGGAUCAAACAGG